GACUGGUUCAGAGGUAGCAAGUUAUCUCAAUUGAUUGUUCACAGUUGUAGAUUAAACUCCUUGUUAUAUUCCCCCCCAGUCCCUUCUCACUACUGCACUUGAAUAGUUUUAA
rnacentral:Y_RNA from 1 species